CGGUGUGUCAACAGACCUUGAUUUCGCUCUUCGAUAAAUGAACCCAAUGAUCAAACAUGUAGGAGCCUAAUGCAGGAGGUUUUUAGGCGCAAAAAAUCGACCUGCAUAUUAAAGCAUUGACGAGUAUUAUGAUUCUGAGUCUCUUCAACUAAGGUAUAGCCAGAGAGGUUCUUUCGAAGAUACAGCGGUACAUCAAGGAUGUAUUGUGAUGGAAGUUUCAAGAUUUUUAGACUUAUAAAGAAUGGCAUCGAGGUAUUUAAUUCAAGCGAGGCAUGCCCCAAAUGUCCCCAGGCAAGUCCGUAAUAUGCAAUUUUUAAUGUUUCCAUGUCAACGAUUUUUGAAAUAAUACAAAGAAUGUAUGUUGCUGAG